UACGGCCAAAUCACGAAUCAAUUGUUCCCAUAUUAUCACUGAAGUUAAGCAGUGUCAAGCCUGGCUAGUACUUAGAUGGGUGAAUGUUUGGGAAUACCAUGUGCUGUAAU